UGUGUUCACCCUCAAUUCUCCCUUCAAAAAGUAUAGCCAGUUUCUCUUUGAAAGCUACCUACUGUGAUUCGACUUCCUUCCUUUCUUUCUUUCUUUUUUUGCAGCAGUCCAGUCACUGCACACCCUAAAUGACCAGAUAUCCCAUUUUAUUGUCACCAAGUCAAAGGCGCUGGAGGAGGACCAAGACCCUUUUCUUCCCACUGAGAAGGAGACGCUCAAGAGUUCCAUGAUAUUGAUGAGGCACCUCUUAAUGGAUGCUCAGGAAAAAUCUGACAGAAGCAGCUUUGGUUCAGCAGCAAGGAACUCCAGUGUUAACGGAAUGGGAUAGAGAUUCUCUUCCAGCUUUUGGAAACCACAUGAGAGUUCAGAAAAUAGGAGACCUCUACCUCCCUCUGGAAAGCACACUCAUCUUGUCUGUCUGUUCACUGUGCCUUCUCCCUAUGAGGGGAGGAAACAUAACAAUUUCUGUUUUGGGAGAUUAGAUUGCUUGGCUGACUGUUGUGGCCCUGGGUGGGACAAGAGCAGACAUCGUUAAUGGAAUGUGUAGCUGCAAUUUUUUUUUUUUUUUUUUGGUGGAUCGUUUUGAAAGGUAUUUAACUGGAGAACAUUAGCACAGCUUGGGCAAAAGUGCUUUGUGGGAAAAUUAAAACCCCAUAUUUCUCCAUCUCUGCAACUACUCCCUAAGUGCAGCCUUUUAAAGGAGGCUUUGGCAAAGGCCAAUAUGUUGAGGCUGGUUCUGAGAGCCCCUGGACCAUACACAAGCUCAUCUCAGUUGGUCAUUGCUUUGUGGCCCUCACUGCUCACAGCCAGUUUUUAGAGGCUUAUAGCCUAUCCAACAGGCCACAUAGAAAGGGGUGAGAGGGAUGUUUCAGAAGAGAGGAGGUGAACCUGGGGUGAAAUGGGCUUUGGUCUCCAUUACAGCCCUUCCUGAUUCUAGCUUAUUUGGAUCUGAGAUCCUGCUAUUGAAAAUUGCCCAGCCCUCCCUCACUGUGAAAGUAAGCAAUCCCAUGUGACUCCUGGAAAAGCAAUGCCUAGUUCUAUGCCACCAUGAGGAACAAUCCCCUCCCUGAUCACAGGGGAUAGAAACCAAGGUGAGCAGAGUAACCAAGAGAAGCCAGGCACAGACCAGCAUAUGAUGGGUAAGCUGCUGACACUACCUCUCCCAAAAAGGCCUAGACGUUGCCACAUUUAGCUCCAAACCAAGCGGCAUCUGUAAAGUCCAGGGUUCUACCUACAAAGACACCUUCAUGAUCAAAGUCAAUUCUUUGAAGGACAGGAUUGUUGCUCAGUCGCUCAGUCAUGGCCAGCUCUUCGGGGCUCCACGGACUGGGGGACACCAGGUUCAAAUUGGCUUUUUCAGGCAUUUGGCCCCUGUUGGAAGUUUAGGGAUGAAGUCAGCAUAAUUUGACCUUCACGUCCCCAACUCAUUCUGCUUCACUCAGUGCUGUGGCCAGGGAGUGCAAUUCUGCCGUCCGUUCCUAUUCAUUUGUUCUCCAGGAUCUGUCCAUCUCAUUAUGCUGAGUGGAACCCUAAAGCAUGGAGCAGAAAACAGAGUACACAGCAGGGUAUUUAACAAAGAGACCUUGACUCUAAGUGGUCCCCGGAGUUAAUAUUCUGCCACCUCCUCUGUGAAGUCCUGCCUCAUCCUCCUAUUGAAAUAAAUCAUUUCUUCCCUCUCACAGCUGCCAUCCUCUGUACUCGUCUGAC
ensembl:lincRNA